AUGGGUAACUGUCAACUCAAGGAUUUGAAUUUAUUUGGCAGGCACCAAUUGGCAGUGAGAGGUAGAAGGGGAAUGUUGACACCAUGUUCCAUGCUCCUUCAGACAUGGAGUCCAAGCGCGCACGGCUCCGUCGCCCCACGCGCUCCAUUGGAGGAGCCCCCGCCCUGCGCGUGGCCGCCUUGGAGUUGGAGCGCUUCCUGCCCCACACCCCUUGUCUGCUCUGGCGGCGGGUUCCUCCUGGCCGCGAUGAUGCCCGAGGCCGGCCGCUACACCCACAAGAAGGAUGACGGCAUCUGCAACAGCAGAUGUUGCUGCAAAGAUAUUAGUGUGGUGGUCAUUGUGUGCAUGCAAUUAACCAGGACGACGAGCGCGGCGACGAGUCCGACUGGGGCGCGCUGGCAGAGGAGGCCCAGGAGCUCGCCGCCCCUGAUGGCGAGGGCGUGCGCGACUUGGAUGGUGGCCGCCAAGGCCAACGCCGGUGAGGACGUCGUCCUGGAGUUCAUUGGGGGGUUCAUCCCAUUUGACAAGGCACGUGCCACUACAAGUGGAGGGUGGCUUUGUGAAGGAUGUGGAGGUGGGAGAAGAAGAACUCUGAAGGUAAACAAUCUA
rnacentral:rRNA from 1 species